UAGGGUUUGAUUCUGGCUCAGAUUGAACGCUGGCGGCAGGCUUAACACAUGCAAGUCGAACGGUAACAGAACUAGCUUGCUAGUUGCUGACGAGUGGCGGACGGGUGAGUAACGCGUAGGAAUCUACCGAAUAGUGGGGGACAACAGUUGGAAACGGCUGCUAAUACCGCAUACGCCCUACGGGGGAAAGGAGGGGAUCUUCGGACCUUUCGCUAUUUGAUGAGCCUGCGUGAGAUUAGUUAGUUGGUGGGGUAAUGGCUCACCAAGGCGACGAUCUCUAGCUGGUCUGAGAGGAUGAUCAGCCACACUGGGACUGAGACACGGCCCAGACUCCUACGGGAGGCAGCAGUGGGGAAUAUUGCACAAUGGGGGAAACCCUGAUGCAGCCAUGCCGCGUGUGUGAAGAAGGCCUUCGGGUUGUAAAGCACUUUCAGUUGUGAGGAAAGGUUAAGGGUUAAUAACUACUUAGCUGUGACGUUAGCAACAGAAGAAGCACCGGCUAACUCCGUGCCAGCAGCCGCGGUAAUACA
rnacentral:rRNA from 1 species